CCUCUGUCUGGUCUCCCUCACUCUUCAGCACUGUCCUCUUAAUUACUUUGGAGUAGCCGUCCCCUUGGGCCACACUGACAGUGUCUUGUGGAGUUCCCUCAACCAUCACUUCCUCCCGUUCGACUCCAUCAGAUGACACACAGCGCUUGAUUAUCUUCCUGGUACCUUUUUCACCACCAUAUUCCCAUGUUCAUCCACAUAUUGCUCCUCAGAAGUGGUCUGCGGAGCAAAUUCUGGGAAUUCAUCUCCCUGUUUGAAGAGAGAAGGGAAACAUUAAGAGACAUUCUGACCACUUGCUAGUCAUUCACUGUCCACUGGGGGGCAGUGGUCAGGCAGAGGUCAGCUGUAAGAGAGGGGUUUGGUUUUAGUGUCAAGAACAGAACUCUGGAUUUGUCUUGAAAGCCAGAGACAAAUACACACAAAACACAUGACAUGCUAAUGGAAGAUGAUCAUGGGUAAAAAUUAAAGUAAUGACAAAAUCUGUUAAAAAGUUCAAGAACCCAAACACCAUUAAUAUUUUACAUCUUUGAUUAAAAUGUUGCUCUGAUCUGUACUGAAGGCUCACAUGUCCGCCCUAGACUUCACACUUCACACAGAAUCCCCACUGGCAGGGCAUCACACAUGCAGAGCAGGCCAGCAGAAGCUCCUCCUCGCUAUACCUGGAUGAUAACUCUCCUUCGAACCACUCUGGUGAUAAGAACAUCCUCUUCAGAACUAUCCGACUGCGCACCUAGCUCUUUUGCAAUUUCCUAGCCAGGCAGGGAAAAUGAAUAUCGUUUCAUAACAAAGCCUUUACUCUUCAGAAGAGCACAGAUGAAGUUCACAGACAUAGUAUUUGUUAGAUCAUUAGUUUCUUCCAUGCACUACCAUGUUUUUUUUUUUCAAGAAACCAGUUUGGGGUUACCGGUUUGGGGUUACCAGUUUUAGGGUUACCAGAUUUAGGGUUAGGGUUAGAAACCAGUUAGAAACCAGGGACUUAGAAGCAUGUCUGAGUUUGUGUGCAAGUCAUCUCUACAAAAUGAAGAAACUUGACUGAAUGCUUGUUAAUUUAACUUGUUAAACCGAAACGGACUUCUAAAAAAAUAAACCACACCAGUUAGUUUAUUAAACAGGUUAAAUCCAAAUUUCCAAGUUAAAUAUAUUUAGUGCCAAAAGUGCCAAAGGGCUGAGACAAUGUGGUAAAAGUGCAGGAUAGGCAGCUCCAGGC
ensembl:lncRNA